rnacentral:lncRNA from 1 species
GGUGAAGGGCCAGUGUGUGGGAAAGAGAAGGUAGAGGCAGGCUUGAGAAGGAGUAAACAAAUGAGAAGGUGGUUCCAAUAGGGGAGUACUUGAGGGCAGGCUACGAUGCUUGAGUGAGGAUUUCAAGGAGUCAAAACUAGAAAGCUCAAGGCAUGGACCUGAAGAGGGAAGGUCAUAGAGAAGAGGGGGCCAUCUACAGCAGUGAUUCUUACCCGGGGGUUGGGGGGUGGGGGGUUCCACCCGAGGGGGGGGCGGGCACGGCCCCCGGGUAGCCUAUCAGAACAUCAGAGGGGAGCAGCAGUGACCUGCUCACAAACAUUAACAACAACCCUAGCUCAGAAGAUCAGAGGGGAGCAGCAGUGACCUGCUCACAAACAUUAACAACAACCCUAGCUCAGAAGAUGGUUCUGAUAGGCUACUUGGGGGCCAUGCACCCCCGGGUGAGAAUCACUGGUGGAAGGGGUAGGGGGAUGGAGAAGGCUACAGAGAAGGAAGGGUGAGCAGAUGGAGGAGGCAUCAGAGUCAUGACUGUCAGACUUGGGAGGAAAGGUCCUGCUGGUGCAGGGGGAUGACAGUGAGCAGCAACUGGAUGCAGUGCAGAAGGGAGGUGGGAGGAAGGGUGAGAGCUGUGAGAGGGUUUCCUGUCAGGGGCAGGGAGGGCACUGCCAACUGUGCUUCCUGCUGAGGACUGAGGUGGGGCAGUGAGGCUGAUAGAGAUGGAGGAUGCAUAGAGGUGAAAGGUGUUUAUAGCUAGUUGUAUGUAGGAAUCAAAGGCAGGUAAAAAUGGAGCCAGUGAUGUAGGGAAGCUCAUGGAAGGAGAUGAGUGCUGAGGAGUAGAAAGAAAAUUCAGGGACUAGAGUCCCCAGGGAGAGAGCUUCAGUUCAGCAGCAUUAAGACAGUGUGGAAGUUAGAACUUCUGGAGACAGGGUAGGCUAUGCAGGCAGAAUGCCAAAACACAGGACAGGUGGAAGAUCACGGUCAGAGUCAGAGGUUCCCUGAGAGCUUCAUCAGAUGUGAAUGGAAGGAUGUGAAAAGAAGCAGCACAGGUCACUGGGAGCCAUGGACACAGUUAGUUCUAGAAGGACCAUGAAGUCUGGGCCAGAGAGACUGCUGGGUAGAGGGUGCAGACUUGGUACAAUCAGUCGGAUGCAGAGAGACCCAAGUCAGGUGAAGCAGUGGGUGUGGAGGACAGGUCAAGCUGGGGUGCUGACGCACAGGUCUGUAGAAUACACCGGAGCACCCCAGAGGGCAUCGGAAGAAGCUUCAGGUGUUGAGAGGGUGACUCUGCUUCUCUGAGCAGUGGAAGGUAGAGCAGGAGAAAGGGUUAACUGGGACCCAGGAGAAGUGUGAGGAAGUUGUAAUAGGUGGGAGGGAGAGCAUGAGAGGAGCUGGGAGAGAGGAGGGUGCAGAGGGGCUCAGAGGAAUGAACCACACCAAGAAGGUAGACUCAGGCCUUAGAAAAGAGAAAAUGAGAUAUUUAAUUCAGCUGUAAAACUAUGGUUCUGGCAAAAAAGAAAAACAGUGCCUAUAAAAUAACUGUGAGUUCUAUGUCAUUGAUAACCAUGGACAAAUGUCUCAGACUGUGUUUUAAAAAAACAUGAUUUUCCCACAAUGGUAGACCUAAUCACCUAGACUUUUAUAGCUAGGUGAAGUUAGAGAGCACAUGGACUCAGUGGAGUUUGUCCUAAAUGCAGAGGUUGACAGUGAUGGGAGCAGUGAGUGGAAAUCAGGAAGUGAUCAGACAGGGCUAGAAAGACUUGGGAGUUCUCAUAUUGAUUGGAAGGUUCCAAGGAGUGUUGUUGAGGAGGAAGUAGGUAGCUGUAGAAUGCCAACAAACAUUUUGAAUCAAACUGGACAUACCACUAAUGCAAAAUGAAAAGGCCAAGAGAGGUUAAAACCAACAGAAGUUGUGGCUCACCCUUUAUAAUGGAGCCAGGGCAGGAAAGCAAAAGGCAGAAUUCAGGGUUUCCAAAGUGGGAGGUGGUAACGUAUCUCCAGGUUAAGCAAGGAAUGUUAGGCAGAUUUUCAAAGACUAAGCAGAGUUCUCUUCAUAAGAGAAGCAAGUCAGUAAGUAACCCAGCCUUUAUUUAGUGAAGAAACAACUUCACUAAUUUAGAAAACAGAAGAAUAUUAAAGACAAAAAAAAAAGAGAGAGAGAGAGAAAGUAGUAGGACUAUCACAUAGUUUAUUAUAAAAUCAGAAAAUUUGAGUUGGGUUUAGUGGCAAAAUGAUCAGAAGUUCACAGCCAACCUGGGAUACAGAGGAAGACCCUGUCUUAGAAAAAAAAAAAAAAAAAAAAAAAAAAAAGAAUGAAAGAAAAGAAAAAGGUUAAAAAAAAAAAAAGGAAAAAAUCAAAAGAAAGAAAAAAGAAAACAACAAAAAAAGAAAAAGACAAAAAAAAAAAGGAACUAUGAGAAUUGAAAGAAAAGUUGGACACAGGUUGAAUUAUAAUUAAUAUGGCCUACAACAAAAAUUCACAUAGCUCCAAUGGUAAAGGAGGCUAUUUGGCUCCCUAAAAGUUUCAUCAAGUAUCAAUGAACGGGUUGGGUAAGGGGAGUAAAUGGUUACAAAGAGAUGAGUUUGUAAGUGGCACAAUCUUCAGAAACCAGUAUCUUAGAGCCAAGGAUGUUUAUAGAUUGAGCAAAGAAAGUUAUAAUCAAUGAAUAAUAGUCUGAAGAAUACUGGAGGGCACAUAUCUUUUGAACUAUAGAAGAACUAAUUUUAAAUAUGCUAGUAGAAAAAAAUUAAGGAAGCCCAAAAUUAAACAAAAUAUUGUGUGUUAUUAUGUUUGGUACCAGGCGAUACUUAAACAAAUAAAAUAAUUUGUCCAAUUCACAGAUUUAGUAUGUGGUAGGGCCAGAAUUAAAAUUAUUACCUUUAUCUAUUAAACCCAUAUUCCUUUCUAAUAUGCUUUAUUAUUUUCAAGUUGAAAGAAAUCAUAAAUAAGAAUUUCUAUAUUUUCCUUGAGACUGUAAGGAAAAAUAUUUUUUCUGAGAUAAGAUAUGUUUUAGAAGUGACACGAUUCUGAAGUGACUGGUAAUUGUUAGAAUAUCUGCAAUGGGGAAAAGUUCAAUGUUAAAGAAAAGACAGACAGGAGGAUGGGCUCCAUUACCACCUCUGUCCUGGUAUUUCAUAUCGUUCAUUGCACAGUAGAGCUGAGAUUGGCUACAGGCUAAAAUUCAUGAAUUCUAAUAAAAAUAAAGAAUAGAAAGAAGAAAGCAUAUGGUAGGUCAAACACAAAAGUGAUGAAACAAGAUUGGAGUUUAUAGCCACAUUAUGCCACUGAUCAGAAAACCCUCUAAAUCUAACAUAAAGAAACAUCUCUAAUUGCCAAAUUUUCACAAACAAAAGCCAAAUAGUCCAUAGCCAGCAGAGCAAACAUUCAAACCUCUGGGCUAAUAACAUGUAAGAUCUGUUUUAAGAAGUUACCUCUCAGUGAAGAGAGCUGAGGUGAUGAUCUAUUCUCCCUCUCUUGGUGGAAGUGUUUAAUGUUACUAUUGUUUCCCUAUAUGUAACUGCUGUAAUUUCAAUAUCGUUGUUUUGUGUAUUUUGGUAUUGUAAAACUGUACUUAUUCUUUUAAUCCCAUUCCCUGGGGUGUGGGUCCCCUGAGUUAUCUAAUAUCAGAGUCCACCUGAGGAGCUAGUAUUGAGUAUAUACUGAGGAGCUAGUAAUCUCAACUGGGAAGGGCUGGAGUUUUCAAUGGGUUCAGAUUUGCUUCCUAUUGUAAUUAAGUGUAAAUUAAUGGCAUCCCUUAAAAAUUAAUAACACACAAGUUUAGUGAGAAGUACAGUGAUUGUGGAAGAAUUCUGAAGCAAUGAAAGAUGGCUAUUGGAAAAAACAGAGUCUCCCAGGAUGAUAGCAAAGACAUAGAGCUGCAUUAAGGCUGGACCCAGAUAUAAAUUUGGAACAGUAGCAAACAAAACUAGCUUUACUUGAGAGAACAGAAAGUUUAAAUACUGUCUAGCAUAUAUAUCAGAAGACCAGAGAAUAAAGUGAAACCACAAGGAAAUGGAAGUUGAGAGGAUUUUACAAAGGAAUAAACAAAGUUAUUAAGUUUAAAGACAGAUUACCAAAAGCUCAAAGGAGAAAUGUCAGAGUCCAGAUAGGAAAGUGCCUUCCUUCCCACCCAGGGUUACAGUUACAGAUCCAAGUGGCUGUACAACACAAACAGUUCCACUGGAUCAAAGGGAACAUCCUGGGAUUCAGACUCAGCAAUGGUGCCAACAUGAAUCUACCUCGUGCCAGAGUCUGAGUAGCCUAGUCUAGCACCCAACCCAGCUAAGAUUGGUCAGCAGUUCCCAUGAGUGAACCCUGAAGAAGGGAGUUAGGAGAAGAGGCUAUAAAUCAGAACACGCCCUCAGUGUAACUGAAUGAUGACCAGGGAACUAUUUACUAGUCCUUUUAUGAUCUCUUGUAAUUCUGUAACUUCUCUGAUGUUUGUUAAUAUUGUUAAUUUCUGUAUUUCAUGUACUUACAAGUAG